AGAGGGUGCAAGCGUUAAUCGGAAUUACUGGGCGUAAAGCGUGCGCAGACGGUUGCGUAAGUCAGAUGUGAAAGCCCCGGGCUCAACCUGGGAAUUGCAUUUGAGACUGCGUAGCUAGGGUGCGGAAGGGGGAAGCGGAAUUUCCGGUGUAGCGGUGAAAUGCGUAGAUAUCGGAAGGAACACCAGUGGCGAAAGCGGCUUCCUGGUCCAGCACCGACGUUCAGGCACGAAAGCGUGGGGAGCAAACAGGAUUAGAUACCCUGGUAGUCCACGCCAUAAACGAUGAGAACUAGACGUUGAAGGGGUAAGCCCUCCAGUGUCGUAGCUAACGCGCUAAGUUCUCCGCCUGGGGAGUACGGCCGCAAGGUGG
rnacentral:rRNA from 1 species